UUCCAAAAUCCUUGCCAUGGUACAUCUUGUAUAAAUUUUGUCUGUGUGUCCUUUAUCCUAGCUAUGACUGGAUCUUAGCAUCUUUUCUUUUCCAUGCAUGCCAAUUAAUUUCAUCUCUGAAAUCUGUCUCCUCACCAUGCGAAAAUCCUGCAGUUGCUAAUCCACCACAGAAGUGACAUCGACACAGUAUGGCUGAGAGAAUACUUAUAAGGAGCCCAAAUGAAGAAAUAAUUAUGCCGUGGUUUUUGAAGAGGAAUGAGGCAUGAUAUGAACAUAACAAGAAGAAUGAUUUCCACUGCUACAUUUUAUGGCACCAGUGGGACUGCACAAAUUCUGAGAGCAUUUCCUUUCGUGGCCCUGCUUCUGUAAGGGUCAGAUACCACAUUUCAGAUCAGAAGUUGAGAAAGUUGUUAGCAGUGGUGUCUCAAAACAGCCCUUUUGAAGUUUCAUGGAAACCUCGACAAUGCACUGUUAUGUGGUUUGGAGCACCUGUCAGCCUCUGCCUAUGAUUCACAGGUGUGGGAAAAUCUGUUUCCAGUGCCUUCGAAUUGCUGAGUCAUAUUCAGACUGGGAAUCCCAGUGAGUGUCUUUGCUCCCAAAUGACAAUGAAGCAAGUGGGCUGGAUGGAGAGGUACAAAGAGAGGUGAGUGAACCCAGGAGAUGCUGAACACUAGGUCUCAUGCUGUUGAAAAAAAUAUGACUUUCCAGCUUGCAGAUGAAUGACUCAUAGCUGAUGAUCUAAAGCUGCAAAUGACUAAAGAUUUUCCAUUGUGUUCCUUUGAUCACUGUACCUGUGGAUGGCUUGAUUCUUCUCCAUGAGAAUGAUCCUACUUUUUCUCCCAAAGAAAGUUCUUUCAUUUCUCCCCUU
ensembl:lncRNA